rnacentral:lncRNA from 1 species
GACAGGUGGUGCUGCAGGAGAAAUAGGUGUUGGCUGUGUUAUAGGACUGUUGGACGGACUGUUGGAACAGGAUGGUUCACUAUUGGAACAGUUGGAGGAACUGUUGCAACAGUUAGACGAAGUCUGAGGGAGGAGGAACAAGGAGGGUGUGUUUUCGUCCAAGGCAGAAGGGGGAAGUGUGUUUUUGGGGGGAGUGGACUCAGCAAAAGGAAAGUUAGUUUCGUCGAAGAUAAC